rnacentral:rRNA from 1 species
CCUACGGGUGGCUGCAGUGGGGAAUAUUGCACAAUGGGGGAAACCCUGAUGCAGCGACGCCGCGUGAGUGAAGAAGUAUUUCGGUACGUAAAGCUCUAUCAGCAGGGAAGAAAAUGACGGUAUCUGACUAAGAAGCCCCGGCUAACUACGUGCCAGCAGCCGCGGUAAUACGUAGGAGGCAAGCGUUAUCCGGAUUUACUGGGUGUAAAGGGAGCUUAGACGGCUGCGCAAGUCUGGAGUGAAAUCCCAUGGCUUAACCAUGGUACUGCUCUGGAAACUGUGGAGCUUGAGUGCGGGAGGGGCAGGCGGAAUUCCUAGUGUAGCGGUGAAAUGCGUAGAUAUUAGGAGGAACACCGGCGGCGAAGGCAGCCUGCUGGACCGUAACUGACGUUGAGGCUCGAAAGCGUGGGGAGCAAACAGGAUUAGAUACCCUGGUAGUC